CAGUCAGAGGCGAUGAAGGGCGUACUAAUCUGCGAUAAGCGCCGGUAAGGUGAUAUGAACCGUUAUAACCGGCGAUACCCGAAUGGGGAAACCCAGUGUGAUUCGUCACACUAUCAUUAACUGAAUCCAUAGGUUAAUGAGGCGAACCGGGGGAACUGAAACAUCUAAGUACCCCGAGGAAAAGAAAUCAACCGAGAUUCCCCCAGUAGCGGCGAGCGAACGGGGAGGAGCCCAGAGCCUGAAUCAGCAUGUGUGUUAGUGGAAGCGUCUGGAAAGGCGCGCGAUACAGGGUGACAGCCCCGUACACAAAAGCGCAUGUGCUGUGAGCUCGAUGAGUAGGGCGGGACACGUGGUAUCCUGUCUGAAUAUGGGGGGACCAUCCUCCAAGGCUAAAUACUCCUGACUGACCGAUAGUGAACCAGUACCGUGAGGGAAAGGCGAAAAGAACCCCGGCGAGGGGAGUGAAAAAGAACCUGAAACCGU
rnacentral:rRNA from 1 species